rnacentral:rRNA from 1 species
AACGAACGCUGGCGGCAGGCUUAACACAUGCAAGUCGAACGGGCGUAGCAAUACGUCAGUGGCAGACGGGUGAGUAACACGUGGGAACCUUCCUAGAGGUACGGAACAACUCAGGGAAACUUGAGCUAAUACCGUAUACGCUCGUAAGAGGAAAGAUUUAUCGCCUUUAGACGGGCCCGCGUCGGAUUAGGUAGUUGGUGGGGUAACGGCCUACCAAGCCUACGAUCCGUAGCUGAUCUGAGAGGAUGAUCAGCCACACUGGGACUGAGACACGGCCCAGACUCCUACGGGAGGCAGCAGUGGGGAAUCUUGGACAAUGGGCGCAAGCCUGAUCCAGCCAUGCCGCGUGAGUGAAGAAGGCCUUAGGGUUGUAAAGCUCUUUUACCAGGGACGAUAAUGACGGUACCUGGAGAAUAAGCCCCGGCAAACUUCGUG